rnacentral:lncRNA from 1 species
CUGCUUCCUGAGCAUCAUUUGAGCUGCUUCCCUCUGCCACACUGUUCUGCCAUGAUGUUCUGCCACACUUCAAGCCUUGAGGAGUGGAGUCGGCUGUCUGUGAACUGGGACCGCUGAAACCGUGAGCCCUCAAAUAAAUAGUUCUGGUCAGAUCUUUUAGUCACAAAAGUGAAAAAGCUGACUAAAAUAACAGGGCACUCAGCAGAGCUUCCUGCUUUGCUAAGCGCACUAGGGUC